GCGCCCGUCAUUGGGGAGUAGCCAAUUUCCUUAAGGAAAUGUACGCAUCAACAUACUCGUUGCAAAACGUGGUGCGUACGGACUGAAGCCCUUUCAGUCAGGCGAGACCAUAGGCACGCGGCCGCUUUUUACUGGGGGCGGACGGCGUGUAUAUGGUGAUCCCGGUCAGGACU
rnacentral:sRNA from 2 species